rnacentral:rRNA from 1 species
UAAUACGUAGGGGGCAAGCGUUGUCCGGAAUUAUUGGGCGUAAAGCGCGCGCAGGCGGUCUGUUAAGUCUUGUGUUUAAGCCCGGGGCUCAACCCCGGUUCGCAUGGGAAACUGGCAGUACUUGAGUGCAGGAGAGGAAAGCGGAAUUCCACGUGUAGCGGUGAAAUGCGUAGAGAUGUGGAGGAACACCAGUGGCGAAGGCGGCUUUCUGGACUGUAACUGACGCUGAGGCGCGAAAGCGUGGGGAGCAAACAGGAUUAGAUACCCUGGUAGUCCACGCCGUAAACGAUGAGUGCUAGGUGUCGGGGGUUUCGAUACCCGCGGUGCCGAAGUUAACGCAAUAAGCACUCCGCCUGGGGAGUACGCUCGCAAGAGUGAA